rnacentral:tRNA from 1 species
GCCCGGGUGGCGGAAUGGCAUACGCGGUGGACUCAAAAUCCACUGGUCGCAAGACCUUGAGAGUUCAAGUCUCUCCCCGGGCACCA